rnacentral:lncRNA from 1 species
GGAAGCAGGGAAGAUGGAUAAGAGACUCCCACAAUAAUCCAGGCAAGAGAUGAAGGAGUCUUGGUCCAGGAUGGUAACAGUGGAGGGGAAUGAUUAUUUCGGACUCUGAGUCUUGGAUGGUCGUCUCUACAAGCUCCCAAAGGAAAACACCCAUGUGGUUUUUGCCUGCUUGAGGUAAAUACCACCUUAGGCCAACUACCCCAUCUGUAAACUGGGAAUAACACCAGAUUGCAGGGAUGUUGAGGAGGGUUAAUUAUAUACAGAGUGUCUAAGGGUUGAGCAGAUACACAAGUGCUCUGGAAGUUCUUGGCAUAAUACUAUAGCAUUACAAUAAUUCUGGCUUGCAAAUUAUACCCCAGCAGAGGUAUCACAUGGAAAAGUGGAUCCGACUCUACGGCCUGAUGAAAGUGACAUGGAAAAAAUAAGUUAUGAAAUAUAACUUCUCUUCCUGAACUUUUGGAAAAGGCAGAGAUAACCUUUCCAUGUGCAAGACACAUGCAGGGAGCAAGCUUCCAGAUUCUGGUUUUCUACUGGGGCCUCCUUACGUGCAAGAUAAUUAAGUGCCAAUGCGACAGAGGAACAAUUUAAAGGGUAACGGAGAUACUUAAGUCUAGGUAUAUUCAAAAUAAACAUCCUAGCCAGGUCAACUUCUGGGUCCUCUCUGCAUGCCCCAGACACAUCACAUCUCUCUCUCUCUCUCUCUCUCUCUCUCUCUCUCUCUCACACACACACACACACACACACACACACACAUCCCUUAGAUUAUUUCCUGUGAAAUGCUAAGUAAAUAGAUCUCAGGCAAUGAAGAUGCUCUGUAGCUGGUGAUAGUAUCUGCGACUGUGAGACGUCACAUAGUGGGUUUGGAAAAUUCAACUGGCCACAGAGGAUGACAGUUUUGUCUGACCAAGGAGGGAAAGGGCAAAUAGCUUGAUUCUGGAAUAACAAAUUUGAAGUCAAUUUCACUUUACCACUGUGUAUGGCUGAGCAGACAGAGGUCAGCUUCAGGAUAAGACCGAGUUCAAGUCCUGCUUCUAUCACUUCUGUGCUGUGGCCUCAGGCAUGAGUCUGGGUGGGUUACAGAGAGGAAGCAGUAACAGCUCUCAGGCCUUCCCUGUCCAAAUGUCUCAGAUUGAAAUCUGAGUUUGACCUCUACUUCCAGCGUGGCCAGAACUAUGAUGUGAUCAAAAGAGCCCCUGGCCUUGCUGUCUGCCCUCACAGUUCCCACUGUUACUACAGGAUAUGGGAAAAACAGACUCCCCCAAAGCACAUCUAUAACAGACAGACAGCAAAUGCAGAUUAUUGAUUUGGGCUAUUGUUUUAGUAAAUCAACAUUCUUAGAGAAUUUCUCAGCUCUCAGGUGCCCACAUCUUAGAGUUAAGUCACAUUUUGAGGGUUGCCCAGGCAAAUUCAAAGCAGCACCAGGCCCUAGUGGCAGCUACUUCAUCUUUAGGCAGCAUUUCCCUCUCAACAGGGAGCAUGCCACCUCCCCUGGGUGCAGAUCCCAGGAAAAGUUACACUGACCAAAUCAGGCCACUCCCUGGGACUGUUUCCUCAAUUUUGGUUAAUAAUCAAAGGAUGAUCUGAAAUCGCAAAGAAGAGACUCUUGGAAAAGACAUAAUUAUGGUGCCACCCGACUUAGGAACUGGCAUCCAAGUCCACCUGUGUGACUUUCCUCUGGGCCUCAGUUUCUCCAUCUGUAAAAUGAGGUCCUGUAUUUAUUUUUUGAGACGGAAUCUCC